rnacentral:rRNA from 1 species
UACGGGGGGGGCAAGCGUUGUUCGGAAUUACUGGGCGUAAAGGGCUCGUAGGCGGCCAACUAAGUCGGAUGUGAAAUCCCCAGGCUUAACCUGGGAACUGCAUCCGAUACUGGAUGGCUUGAAUCCGGGAGAGGGAUGCAGAAUUCCAGGUGUAGCGGUGAAAUGCGUAUAUAUCUGGAGGAAUACCGGUGGCGAAGGCGGCAUCCUGGACCGGCAUUGACGCUGAGUGAGCGAAAGCCAGGGGAGCAAACGGG